rnacentral:rRNA from 1 species
GACGAACGCUGGCGGCGUGCCUAAUACAUGCAGGUAGAACGCUGAAGGAGGAGCUUGCUCUUCUGGAUGAGUUGCGAACGGGUGAGUAACGCGUAGGUAACCUGCCUGGUAGCGGGGGAUAACUAUUGGAAACGAUAGCUAAUACCGCAUAACAGUAGAUGUUGCAUGACAUUUACUUAAAAGGUGCAAUUGCAUCACUACCAGAUGGACCUGCGUUGUAUUAGCUAGUUGGUGGGGUAACGGCUCACCAAGGCGACGAUACAUAGCCGACCUGAGAAGGUGAUCGGCCACACUGGGACUGAGACACGGCCCAGACUCCUACGGGAGGCAGCAGUAGGGAAUCUUCGGCAAUGGACGGAAGUCUGACCGAGCAACGCCGCGUGAGUGAAGAAGGGUUUCGGAUCGUAAAGCUCUGUUGUAAGAGAAGAACGAGUGUGAGAGUGGAAAGUUCACACUGUGACGGUAUCUUACCAGAAAGGGACGGCUAACUACGUG